AUUGAACGCUGGCGGAAUGCUUUACACAUGCAAGUCGAACGGUAGAGGGGGCAACCCCUCGAGAGUGGCGAACGGGUGAGUAAUAUAUCGGAACGUGCCCAGUCGUGGGGGAUAACGUAGCGAAAGUUACGCUAAUACCGCAUACGAUCUACGGAUGAAAGCGGGGGAUCGCAAGACCUCGCGCGAUUGGAGCGGCCGAUAUCAGAUUAGGUAGUUGGUGGGGUAAAGGCUCACCAAGCCAACGAUCUGUAGCUGGUCUGAGAGGACGACCAGCCACACUGGAACUGAGACACGGUCCAGACUCCUACGGGAGGCAGCAGUGGGGAAUUUUGGACAAUGGACACAAGUCUGAUCCAGCCAUUCCGCGUGCAGGAUGAAGGCCCUCGGGUUGUAAACUGCUUUUGUACGGAACGAAAAGGUUUCCAUUAAUACUGGGAGCUCAUGACGGUACCGUAAGAAUAAGCACCGGCUAACUACGUGCCAGCAGCCGCGGUAA
rnacentral:rRNA from 1 species